GUACACGCUGUGACUAGCAUAUCAAUAAGCGGAGGAAAAGAAACUAACAAGGAUUCCCCUAGUAACGGCGAGUGAAGCGGGAAGAGCUUAAAUUUGAAAUCUUAAAGGGUUUCCCUUUACGAAUUGUAGUUUAAAGAAGCGUUUUCUGUUGAGGUUUUGGUAAAAGUUCUUUGGAAUAGGACAUCAUAGAGGGUGAGAAUCCCGUAUUUGACCUUUACUUUCAACUUUGUGAUACACUUUCAAAGAGUCGGAUUGUUUGGGAAUGCAGUCCAAAAUGGGUGGUAAAUUUCAUCUAAAGCUAAAUAUUGGCGAGAGACCGAUAGCGAACAAGUACCGUGAGGGAAAGAUGAAAAGAACUUUGAAAAGAGAGUUAAACAGUACGUGAAAUUGUCAAAAGGGAAGCGUUUGACACCAGUGUUGUUUUUCUGAAAAUCAAUUAAAGAACUGUUUAUGCUAAGCUGUUUAGACUUUAUCAGCUAUCUGUUUAGUUUUGAGCUUUUCUUUAAUGCACUUUUCAGUUAACAAGUCAACAUCAAUUUCUUUUGCUGUAAAAAAGCUUGAGGAAGGUGGCUUGAGAUUCGUCUUAAGUGUUUAUAGCCUCUUGCCUAUGCAGUCGGAGAGAUUGAGGUCUGCAGCGUAGAUCCUUCGGGGCUAAAUGCAUUUGUGCUAAGUUAUAGCAUUUUAUAGACAACUUGUUGACUAUGAUUUGUCUUGUAGCUUACUCGCCUAUGUUAUUUUACCUACGCUUAGGAUGUUGACGAGACUGUCGAUCUC
rnacentral:rRNA from 1 species